AUAACUACUAAAUAGUGUAUUUUAAUUGUUAUUUUUAAUUCUCGCGUUGCAUUUACUAUAUAAAAAGAAAUGAAGAAAUAGUCUGAACCAUCUUGUGAAAGAUGGAAAUAAAGGAUAAAUAACCUUUAUGAUAACAAAUUUUGAACAGGCUAAUUGCGCCAGGAAGUACAAAUUGAGUGCGCAGUUUGGCACCUCGAUGUCGGCUUAACUUAUCCACAUGAAUGCAGGAAUCAUGAAGGGUUCGACUGUUCGUCGAUUAAUAAGUUACACGAGCUGGGUUAAAUACGUCGUGAGACAGUAUGGUUUCUAUCUUCUAGAGGAAAUUAGAAUAAAAUAAGGAUAGCCCCCUCGUACGAAAGGAGCUGGGUAUAUUAACCUAUGGUUUACCUGUUGUUUAUGUGCCCAAUAUUAAUAAAAGUAUAAUUAAGUUUAUACAGGGAUGUUACUUUCACUUAAGUAAAUAUAUAGCAUAGGCACGGCAGGAACGCUACGUUAGUUAAAGAUAAGUGCUGAAUGCAUCUAGGCGCGAAACUUACUUUAAGAUAUUCUUAAAUAUAGGUAGUUUAACACUACGAUUUCCAUAUUUUAUUAAAUAUGUGAUUAAUAGGCUUUAGCUGAAAGAAUUUAAAUGUUUUUAGGCAUAAAGUACUAAUUUUAUAAAUAACUGAUUAUU
rfam:Pseudogymnoascus pannorum VKM F-4515 (FW-2607) contig_2181, whole genome shotgun sequence.